GAUCCUGGCUCAGGAUAAACGCUGGCGGCGCACAUAGGACAUGCAAGUCGAACGGAAGUCGUUACGAAAUGGAAUGAAGAUUUAUCUCAUUGAAGUUUUGUAACAAUGGCUUUAGUGGCGGACUGGUGAGUAACACGUAAGCAAUCUACCUAUUAGAGGGGAAUAACAAUGAGAAAUCAUUGCUAAUACCGCAUAAGCUUGUAGUACCGCAUGGUACAGCAAGAAAAGGAGCAAUCCG
rnacentral:rRNA from 1 species